GCCGCUGUGGUGUUGUGGUAGAGCACGCGUCCCCGGGUAGGAUGAAACGCGAGUUCGGUUCCCGCCUGAGGCC